rnacentral:lncRNA from 1 species
GCCUAGCUACUGGCUUGCCGCUGAACCUUUAAUUCAUAACAAAUUUCUAAGGUAGGUAGCUCUUGGCUGAAACUAUCUACCACAAAACCUAAAUUGACAGAGAGAGCACGGAAGGAGACCUAAUCAUAUUUUGUAAAUUGUCCCGCAGUUUAUGCCCAUGGCGAAUAAAGAUCUGAUCCUAAACAAUAGGAAGAAGACUAAAUGAACGUGACCACAGUUUAAACCCA